rnacentral:rRNA from 1 species
ACUCAAUAGAUACCCGGGUAGUCCACGCCGUAAACGAUGGGUGCUAGGUGUCGCGGGCUUUGACCCCUGCGGUGCCGUAGCUAAACGCAUUAAAGCACCCCGCCUGGGGAGGUACGGCCGCAAGGCUAAAACUACAAAGGAAUUGACGGGGGCCCGGCACAAGCGGUGGAGCAUGUGGUUCAAAUUCGACGCAACGCGCAGAACCUUACCUGGGCGUAGAAAAUAGCAGGAACCUGGUUGAAAAAUACGGGGUGGCUCUUCGGAGAACCUGUAGUUAGGUGCUGCAUGGCUGUCGUCAGCUCGUGUCGUGAGAUGUUGGGUUAAGUCCCGCAACGAGCGCAACCCUACUCGUUAGUUGCCAUCGGGUUAAGCCGGGCACUCUAGCGAGACUGCCGAUAUUCAAAUCGGAGGAAGGUGGGGAUGACGUCAAGUCCUCAUGGCCCUUAUGUCCAGGGCUACACACGUGCUACAAUGGUCGGUACAAACGGUCGCCAGCCCGCGAGGGGAGCCAAUCCGAAAAAAACCGGCCUCAGUACGGAUAAGAGUCUGCAACUCGACUCUUU